ACGGCUCAGUAACACGUGGACAACGUGCCCUUAAGUGGAGGAUAACCUCGGGAAAUUGAGGAUAAUACUCCAUAGAUCAUGGAAUCUGGAACGAUUCAUGGUUCAAAGUUCCGGCGCUUAAGGAUCGGUCUGCGGCCUAUCAGGUAGUAGUGGGGUGAAACGUACCUACUACCCUAUGACGGGUAUGGGCCUUGAGAGAGGGAGCCCAGAGUUGGAUUCUGAGACACGAAUCCAGGUCCUACGGGGCGCAGCAGUCGCGAAAACUUCACAAUGGGCGCAAGCCCGAUGAGGGAACUCCUAGUGCUAGCACUUUUGUGUUAGCUUUUCUUUAGCGUAGAUAACUAAAGGAAUAAGGGCUGGGUAAGACGGGUGCCAGCAGCCGCGGUAAUAC
rnacentral:rRNA from 2 species